ACAGGCAUGGAUAUAGAUCAUGACAUGGAUAGAUCAUGGAUCGACAAAUAUGCACAAGAUAGAUGAUAACAAGGUAAAGGUUUUUGUCGACAGAGAUUCAAAAGGUUCGACCUUGCAGUUGACGGGCUUCGGGUCACGAUCGUGGCGGUUCGGUGCUGGGUGGCUGCGCGACGUGUGUGGUCAGUGUCGCUGCCCUGCUGCUGCUCGGCGUCGCGACUGCUCGUACACGUCCCACGGCUUGGCGCAGAGGACGUCGCGGCGAGGUGGGGCGCUGGGCGAGGGCGACACGGCGUCGGGGUCGCGGCGUCGAGGUCGCCGAGCGAGGGCUCCGAGGGCGAGGCGUGUCGCGGACGCGGCGUCGCGACAGCGGGUGCGCGGGGACGGGGCUUGGCGCCGCAGGGCGUCCGCGCGGCCGGCCAGGUCGGUGUCGUGGCUCUUGGCGAGGUCGGCGUGGAGGGUGACGGGGCACGAGCACGGCGUCGCGGUCGGGGUCGAAGGCGGCUGGGCGUCGAGGGCUCCGGCAGCGUCGAGGCAGAAGCAUGACGAGGUGCUGUCGAAGACCGGCGUCGCGGCUCGGUGGCGCUCCAUGGCGGCGGCGGCUCAGCGUCAAGGUCGUCUGGGCGAGGUUCGGCCGGGGCUCGG
rnacentral:lncRNA from 1 species